UGUUACCCAACCCAUGUUUCAUACGUAACUAAGCCCACAGUCUAAGCAAAAAGGAAAUGAGCAGAACCUGACAGCCUCGUUUGUCUAACAAAACAAAAAUUCACACGUCAAGAGUUCGUGAGAAUGCAAUGUUACUUUUCGAAGGCAAAAAUGUGUUUCACAAUGAAACCAUAACGUACAUUUAGCUUCGUUCUUCGCGCUUUUGAACGGCUCUAAACUACUAUAACAUCGACUACAUUUAGCUUAAUUCUUCGCACUUCUGAAAGGCUAUAACGUGGGAAUGUGACGUGUCGGCGUUGGAAAGCUGCGGGUGCGUGGAAUGCUGCAGUUCCUGAAAUAGAUGUGAAAGCAAGAGAUUGAUGAAGUGUUGGUGAACAUGGUUGAGAAAGAUUCUGAGCCAUUCACCAUAGUGGAGGAUGAGGGGAUCGGGGAGUUUCUGCAAAGGACCCUACCUAUGUUCUCCCUCCAAGGCAGGUAUGUAUAUGGGUAUGGAAAAGUGGAAGACAAAUUUUACAUUAGGUAAUCAAUCACUCUUCAUCUCUUCUUAGGCCUCUAAAGGCAAUGGUAGACAACAAAUACAAGAAGAACGCAAAGGCUCAAAUGCAGAAGCUGGAUUCAUUGAGCCAGUUAAGAGAAAGAAAUGAGAUAUGUCUUCCUGAAAAGAAUACAUCCCUUGCUUUACAUCUGAUUCUGGAUCUGAGACUGAAUUUGAAAGCCCUGCAAUAAGUCAAGUGAAAACAAAUGCCCUUGCAUUCAAUGGAACACCAAGUAGUUACCUGGACAAUCAAAUGGAGGCACCUGUGGACCUGGCUAUGCCAUAAAACCACCAGAACCACACAGAUGACACUUCUGACCAACCAGAUUCAACCACCAUAACAGGAAGCGGACACAGUUCCUGCUUUGGUUGUGGAGAGGCUGAAUCAAAACUUGUCAGACACUUCAAAGGUCAUGUAAGGGAAGAUGCAGACAUAGCAAAAGCACCAAGUUUUUCCUGAGAGGUCAAAAGUUUGUUUGUGUGAAACGAGCUCGGGAGGUUGAUGGUGAGAUGCUCUUUCAAACCACAGAAUAAAUAUCAGGAGGUUCAUAAGGGCAGAAAGACCACUGCAGCACCGGCAAAGUCUGUUUUCUGAAGCCUUCAAGGAAUGUGUCCUAAAGCUGUUGAGUCACACGAAUGAUCAUGGUAUUGAGUGGUGCACAAUGACUUUGGCCUCCUACAGUUUGCCCAGUCUCUGCAACAAACAUGGGUGUAAGAAAUCGAAGCAUGAAUAUAUUCCCUAAAAACUUUGUUAACUUGGAUGAUGUCUGCUGACUCCUACACAAGACACGUCCAGAUAUGUCCCCGCAGCAGGGUUUCCCCUUCAAUACAUUACAUGGGGUGGACCACCACACCUAACACAGUUGGUGGUCCAUCUACAAUGUAUAAAACAUAAUAUGCCAAUGUCAUUAUUUGAAAAGUAAUUUACUAUGAUUUAAAAGCAAUAAUUUGACCAUUUGUUUGUGUAAGAGCUCCAUUUUGUGAUCCAUCUUCGGAAAUGAUCAACAAUGCAAUACAUUUGUGUGGACACCCUUUGGUUAGUAACCAACAACAAGUAUGCAAUGGCAGUGUUUUGAUUAGCAGUUAUUACACUAUGAUUGGCUGCUUGGCCAUGUGCAGAUGAGUGGAUCUCUUUUCGUAGUCAGAGAUUAACCUUAAGAAAGUGACUAACUUGGCUGGCAAAAUGAUAAAGUCAUCUUCAGCUAAAUAAGGGUCAGGUAAAGGCCUCAUCUUUCAUCCAUGUAAAUGACAUUGGGGAUGAGGGUGACACUGUGAGCUGUUCUGUUGUCAGUGAAAACACAGAUAAUACAGAAGCCAACGCCAACGAUACAGGUGCAGCCCAGCUGCCAAAACAAUGGGAGUCGGUGUGGAACCCAGCCUAGCUCGAGGGCCCUCACCACAAACCACAAGCCUAGGAGAGCAACUCAUUCAUAACUAAUGUUUGCCAUCUUCAUUAGAUAACGAAGCUCCAAAGUAUCCCUAUCACAGAGAUUAAACAAUGCUAUUUCAGCCGUCUUGGUUAACGUAACAUUAAACAUUAAACUGUUUAACGUUUAUCC